UUCAGAUCCCCACGCCACCCAACUCUUCAGUCACUGCCUUCAUCUUCCCUUGUUGUUUUGCCUAAUUGCUUCACUACUUGGUGAGCAAGCGAAGUCAGUAUCAGACUGCCUUGUCUCUUUUCAUCUUAAGAUCAAAGAGGUAACAAUGGUUGAUAGGUAAAGUGAGAAUACAUGGAAAUUAGGUGUUGUUGCUGACCCUUGCUCGACCUGUAGGAAAUUGAAGUCUCCUCUCCCAGAUGCCCGUCGCCUACUUGCAGCACAUACAGCUUACCAUUCUAUUUGAUGUGAAAAUCAAGACCAAGAGCAGUGAACUUAUUUAAACCCAGUUACAGUGCCAAGGAAUAAUGCAGGCGGUCGUUUGAAGUCCAAACAACUGACAUUACCUGUAAAGUAAGGGUGUUCAAUUCUUCUAGUUUCGUGAUCCCUGGAUUCUGGAGAUGCCAUG